CCUACGGGAGGCAGCAGUGGGGAAUAUUGGACAAUGGGGGAAACCCUGAUCCAGCGACGCCGCGUGAGUGAAGAAGUAUUUCGGUAUGUAAAGCUCUAUCAGCAGGGAAGAAGAAAUGACGGUACCUGACUAAGAAGCCCCGGCUAACUACGUGCCAGCAGCCGCGGUAAU
rnacentral:rRNA from 1 species